GCCAGGCUGUCAAGCGUCCGCCAUCUUUGCGGAGACCCUCUUGUGGUGUCACCUGUAAUUGCCCUCCUGCUCACCCACCAUCAGUACUGUUUUAGACCCUGCUUAUCCUUCCAUGCCCACCUUUUCCACAAAUCCUCACCAGUGACUGGCCUCCCGCACUCAGCACUGUUUUAGAGCCUCUCAUCCUUCCACAUGUAGCUCUGCCACAAAGCUAUGGAGUGACCUGUGUGAACAGUGCCAUGACUCUCCUUUCUAGGGUUAACCUUUUUUAGGACCUCGAAAAACUUGGAGAAGAUCUAACCUGAAAAGCAGUAUCUCUAGACUGUUUCUUAUCUUCUAGCAGGGAAGGAUCUACAGGGCGAACAGGCAGUUUGGUGACUUAAGCCUGUCUCAAGGAGAAUUCAUCUACCAAGUUGUGUGAGCAUUCAGACAGCCUUUGGAGAGAUCCAUGUGGGAAGAAACUGACGCCUCCCACAAACUACCAGAACUGCCUUGCCAGGCUUGUGACAGUACCUCCUUAGAAGUAGAUCUUCCAGCUCCAGUCAAUUCUGAUGUUGCAGCCCUAGCUUAUAUCUUGGCUAUAGCCUCAUAAGAUACUCUGGGCCAGAAUCUCCAGAUCAGCUAUUUCUGAAUUUGUGACCCACACAAACUAUGAGUUUAAUAAAUAUUUAUUGCUGUUUUAGACCUAAACAGUAAAGCUUUAGU